rnacentral:tRNA from 1 species
AUAGCCCCAGCGGCAUUCCGCCUUCUAAGCGGCAGGUCGCUGGUUCGAGCCCAGCCGCGGUCGCCA